GAACGCUGGCGGCGUGCUUAACACAUGCAAGUCGAACGGAAAGGCCCCUUCGGGGGUACUCGAGUGGCGAACGGGUGAGUAACACGUGGGUAAUCUGCCCUGCACUUCGGGAUAAGCCUGGGAAACUGGGUCUAAUACCGGAUAGGACCACUUGGCGCAUGCCUUGUGGUGGAAAGCUUUUGCGGUGUGGGAUGGGCCCGCGGCCUAUCAGCUUGUUGGUGGGGUGACGGCCUACCAAGGCGACGACGGGUAGCCGGCCUGAGAGGGUGUCCGGCCACACUGGGACUGAGAUACGGCCCAGACUCCUACGGGAGGCAGCAGUGGGGAAUAUUGCACAAUGGGCGCAAGCCUGAUGCAGCGACGCCGCGUGGGGGAUGACGGCCUUCGGGUUGUAAACCUCUUUCAGCAGGGACGAAGCGCAAGUGACGGUACCUGCAGAAGAAGCACCGGCCAACUACGUGCCAGCAGCCCGGAUAUACAA
rnacentral:rRNA from 1 species